GGGUUGUGAGGUUAAGCGACUAAGCGUACACGGUGGAUGCCCUGGCAGUCAGAGGCGAUGAAGGACGUGCUAAUCUGCGAAAAGCGUCGGUAAGGUGAUAUGAACCGUUAUAACCGGCGAUGUCCGAAUGGGGAAACCCAGUGCAAUUCGUUGCACUAUCGUUAACUGAAUACAUAGGUUAACGAGGCGAACCGGGGGAACUGAAACAUCUAAGUACCCCGAGGAAAAGAAAUCAACCGAGAUUCCCCCAGUAGCGGCGAGCGAACGGGGAGCAGCCCAGAGUCUGAAUCAGCUUGUGUGUUAGUGGAACGGUCUGGAAAGUCCGACGGUACAGGGUGAUAGUCCCGUACACCAAAAUGCACAGGCUGUGAACUCGAAGAGUAGGGCGGGACACGUGGUAUCCUGUCUGAAUAUGGGGGGACCAUCCUCCAAGGCUAAAUACUCCUGACUGACCGAUAGUGAACCAGUACCGUGAGGGAAAGGCGAAAAGAACCCCGGCGAGGGGAGUGAAAAAGAACCUGAAACCGUGUACGUACAAGCAGUGGGAGCACCUUCGGGUGUGACUGCGUACCUUUUGUAUAAUGGGUCAGCGACUUAUAUUCUGUAGCAAGGUUAACCGUAUAGGGGAGCCGCAGGGAAACCGAGUCUUAACUGGGCGUUAAGUUGCAGGGUAUAGACCCGAAACCCGGUGAUCUAGCCAUGGGCAGGUUGAAGGUUGGGUAACACUAACUGGAGGACCGAACCGACUAAUGUUGAAAAAUUAGCGGAUGACUUGUGGCUGGGGGUGAAAGGCCAAUCAAACCGGGAGAUAGCUGGUUCUCCCCGAAAGCUAUUUAGGUAGCGCCUCGUGAAUUCAUCUUCGGGGUAGAGCACUGUUUCGGCUAGGGGGUCAUCCCGACUUACCAACCCGAUGCAAACUACGAAUACCGAAGAAUGUUAUCACGGGAGACACACGGCGGGUGCUAACGUCCGUCGUGAAGAGGGAAACAACCCAGACCGCCAGCUAAGGUCCCAAAGUCAUGGUUAAGUGGGAAACGAUGUGGGAAGGCACAGACAGCCAGGAUGUUGGCUUAGAAGCAGCCAUCAUUUAAAGAAAGCGUAAUAGCUCACUGGUCGAGUCGGCCUGCGCGGAAGAUGUAACGGGGCUAAACCAUGCACCGAAGCUGCGGCAGCGACACUAUGUGUUGUUGGGUAGGGGAGCGUUCUGUAAGCCUGCGAAGGUGUGCUGUGAGGCAUGCUGGAGGUAUCAGAAGUGCGAAUGCUGACAUAAGUAACGAUAAAGCGGGUGAAAAGCCCGCUCGCCGGAAGACCAAGGGUUCCUGUCCAACGUUAAUCGGGGCAGGGUGAGUCGGCCCCUAAGGCGAGGCCGAAAGGCGUAGUCGAUGGGAAACAGGUUAAUAUUCCUGUACUUGGUGUUACUGCGAAGGGGGGACGGAGAAGGCUAUGUUAGCCGGGCGACGGUUGUCCCGGUUUAAGCAUGUAGGCUGGUUGUCCAGGCAAAUCCGGAUAAUCAAGGCUGAGGUGUGAUGACGAGGCACUACGGUGCUGAAGUAACAAAUGCCCUGCUUCCAGGAAAAGCCUCUAAGCAUCAGGUAACAUCAAAUCGUACCCCAAACCGACACAGGUGGUCAGGUAGAGAAUACCAAGGCGCUUGAGAGAACUCGGGUGAAGGAACUAGGCAAAAUGGUGCCGUAACUUCGGGAGAAGGCACGCUGGUGUGUAGGUGAAGUCCCUGCGGAUGGAGCUGAGACCAGUCGAAGAUACCAGCUGGCUGCAACUGUUUAUUAAAAACACAGCACUGUGCAAACACGAAAGUGGACGUAUACGGUGUGACGCCUGCCCGGUGCCGGAAGGUUAAUUGAUGGGGUUAUCCGUAAGGAGAAGCUCUUGAUCGAAGCCCCGGUAAACGGCGGCCGUAACUAUAACGGUCCUAAGGUAGCGAAAUUCCUUGUCGGGUAAGUUCCGACCUGCACGAAUGGCGUAAUGAUGGCCAGGCUGUCUCCACCCGAGACUCAGUGAAAUUGAACUCGCUGUGAAGAUGCAGUGUACCCGCGGCAAGACGGAAAGACCCCGUGAACCUUUACUAUAGCUUGACACUGAACAUUGAGCCUUGAUGUGUAGGAUAGGUGGGAGGCUUUGAAGCGUGGACGCCAGUCUGCGUGGAGCCAACCUUGAAAUACCACCCUUUAAUGUUUGAUGUUCUAACGUUGGCCCCUUACCGGGGUUGCGGACAGUGUCUGGUGGGUAGUUUGACUGGGGCGGUCUCCUCCCAAAGCGUAACGGAGGAGCACGAAGGUUAGCUAAUCCUGGUCGGACAUCAGGAGGUUAGUGCAAUGGCAUAAGCUAGCUUGACUGCGAGCGUGACGGCGCGAGCAGGUGCGAAAGCAGGUCAUAGUGAUCCGGUGGUUCUGAAUGGAAGGGCCAUCGCUCAACGGAUAAAAGGUACUCCGGGGAUAACAGGCUGAUACCGCCCAAGAGUUCAUAUCGACGGCGGUGUUUGGCACCUCGAUGUCGGCUCAUCACAUCCUGGGGCUGAAGUAGGUCCCAAGGGUAUGGCUGUUCGCCAUUUAAAGUGGUACGCGAGCUGGGUUUAGAACGUCGUGAGACAGUUCGGUCCCUAUCUGCCGUGGGCGCUGGAGAAUUGAGGGGGGCUGCUCCUAGUACGAGAGGACCGGAGUGGACGCAUCACUGGUGUUCGGGUUGUCAUGCCAAUGGCACUGCCCGGUAGCUAAAUGCGGAAGAGAUAAGUGCUGAAAGCAUCUAAGCACGAAACUUGCCCCGAGAUGAGUUCUCCCUGAGACUUUAAGUCUCCUGAAGGAACGUUGAAGACGACGACGUUGAUAGGCCGGGUGUGUAAGCGCAGCGAUGCGUUGAGCUAACCGGUACUAAUGAACCGUGAGGCUUAACCUUACAACGCCGAAG
rnacentral:rRNA from 1 species